AUUGAACGCUGGCGGCAGGCUUAACACAUGCAAGUCGAGCGGUAGCACAAGAGAGCUUGCUCUCUGGGUGACGAGCGGCGGACGGGUGAGUAAUGUCUGGGAAACUGCCUGAUGGAGGGGGAUAACUACUGGAAACGGUAGCUAAUACCGCAUAACGUCGCAAGACCAAAGAGGGGGACCUUCGGGCCUCUUGCCAUCAGAUGUGCCCAGAUGGGAUUAGCUAGUAGGUGGGGUAAUGGCUCACCUAGGCGAGAAUCCCUAGCUGGUCUGAGAGGAUGACCAGCCACACUGGAACUGAGACACGGUCCAGACUCCUACGGGAGGCAGCGGUGGGGAAUAUUGCAAAAUGGGCGCAAGCCUGAUGCAGCCAUGCCGCGUGUGUGAAGAAGGCCUUCGGGUGGUAAAGCACUUUCAGCGAGGAGGAAGGUGGUGAACUUAAUACGUGCAUCAAUUGACGUUACUCGCAGAAGAAGCACCGGCUAACUCCGU
rnacentral:rRNA from 1 species